UGUCUUUGGGGAACACAGCCAGGAUCCAGAGGAGUCCGACCCAGAUUGUGAAGAACCCGAUACCAAUGACCUGGUAGACGCAUUCAGCAUUUUGGAAAAGGACACUCGGCUGGAAUUUCAACUCCCCUCACACCAAAGGUGUGCGUGCCAUCUGCUGAACCUCGUGGCAACAACCGAUGCAACGAAGGCAGAAGCAAAUGACACAUACAAAAGAUUGUCUCGGUUAUCCUUCGCGAAAUGCCAGGGAUUAUGGAACAAGACGGGCCGGUCAUAUGUGGCCGCAGAAUUUGUUCAAGAUCAGUGCCAGCUUCAGCUGAUAAGACCUAAUCAUCCCGGUGGAACUCCACUUACAUGGCCAUUGAGCGACUGCUGCGGAUCAUAGAUGACAAGGGGGAGGUGGCGAUCCGAAAUGUCUGCGAAGAAUUCAGACUCAAAAUGUUGAGUCCUGCAGAAAUCACUUUUCUCAGAGAAUCGCGAGGUGAUGAAACCUUUGGUAAAGGCGUUGAACAUCUUGCAGUCAGAGACUAACACGCACAUGGGUGGCUCCUUCCAGUGAUUUCACAGCUGUUCAAGAGCAACUGGACUGACAGAGCCGAUGUCAUUGAAGCAGGCCUGACCUAUGUGAGGCAGCACCUUGACAGGAUGGCAGAGGUGGAAGAGGUCGUUGGGCAAACUUCAUCUGAUGAUGAGGAGGACUUCUUCACAUCCAUGAAGGUCAGAAGAUCACAAGGCACGGGGGAGCUGGAUGGGUAUCUUGCCUGUGCAUCAAGUAAGAUGGAUCUCCUCCAGUCAUUUCCACACAUCAAGAAACUCGCCCUCAAACUCAACACAGGUCUGCCUGCGUCAGCUGCCUGUGAAAGGCUUUUCAGCUGUGCCGGCCUGCUUUUCACCCCGAAGCGCGCUAGGAUGAAUGCAGUGAACUUUGAGAACCAACUCCUGCUCAAACUGAACAGGAAGUUUAGAGAUUAAUUCAUAGUCCAUCUAGCGUCUCUCUCUCUCACACACACACACACACACACACACACAGAGCUCCCUCUCUCUCUCUCUCUCUCUCACACACACACAUACACAUAGAGCUCCCUCUCUC